GACGAACCGUGCAAACGUUGUUCGGAAUCACUGGGCUUAAAGGGCGCGUAGGCGGGCCAGCCAGUCUGUGGUGAAAGCCUCCAGCUUAACUGGAGAAGUGCCGUGGAUACUGCUGGCCUCGAGGAGGAUAGGGGCAUCUGGAACGGUCGGUGGAGCGGUGAAAUGCGUUGAUAUCGACCGGAACUCCGGUGGCGAAGGCGAGGUGCUGGGUCCUUUCUGACGCUGAUGCGCGAAAGCCAGGGGAGCAAACAGG
rnacentral:rRNA from 1 species